GAAGGAUGAGAAGCUUCGACUAAGGUUCGGCUCGAGCGUCAGCGAGAGAGCGUUGCCGCAGGCAACGACCCGAAGGGCGAAGCGCGCAGCGCUGAGUAAUCCUUCCCCCACCACCA
rnacentral:sRNA from 1 species